CAGCAGCCGCGGGAAUACGGAGGGGGCUAGCGUUGUUCGGAAUUACUGGGCGUAAAGCGCACGUAGGCGGCUUGGUAAGUUAGAGGUGAAAGCCCGGAGCACAACUCCGGAAUUGCCUUUAAGACUGCCGAGCUAGUAGGUGAGAGAGGUAAGUGGGAUUCCGAGUGUAGAGGUGAAAUUCGUAGAUAUUCGGAAGAACACCAGUGGCGAAGGCGGCUUACUGGCUCAUUCUAGACGCUGAGGUGCAAAAGCGUGGGGAGCAAACAGGAUUAGAUACCCGUGUAGUCCCUGUCUCUUAUAC
rnacentral:rRNA from 1 species